rnacentral:tRNA from 1 species
UUAAUUGAAACCAAUUUAUGAGGUUAGUUACUGUUAAUAACUUAAAAGAAAUUCUAAUAUUUCCAAUUAAA